AGCAGGCGAACAAAGGCAUACACGGCGGCCGAGGACAAGCUCCUUUGUGAGUGUUGGAGGGACAUUGAGCAAGACCCCAAGACCAGCGUCGAACAAAAGGCAUCCACCUUUUGGACUCGUGUCCAUCGUGAGUUCCAUGAGCACAAGAAGUUUCUGCCGUACCAAAUGCAAAGCACGCACGGGUGGGUGUCCAUUUCGAAGCGAUGGAAGGUGAUCCAACAAGAGUGCAACAAGUUUUGUGCCACUCUUGGGAGCAUCAAUGCACGCCCCGUGAGCGGCAUCGGCAUGCAAGACAUGGUAUGCUUGCAAGCGCCCCUCUUUGUGUCAUUCCGUUUAUGUUUGCAUGUCUAUUUCCAUAUCCACUUGCCAAUAUGCUUGCAUGCAAUUCAUUUGUAG
rnacentral:rRNA from 1 species